GAUUUACCAGAACCGAACCUGCCAUGUCGGCCAAGUCAGUGGCAGUGGAAUCAAGAACCGCCUACAUACAUUCGUCACGAAGACUUCAAUUUUCCAUAUUUGCGAAGCUUUCCUACAUUUCCAAGUUCGGUGUCAGCCACUCCUUACCUUCGACGACAAAAACCAAGAAGUGCAUUGUAUAGUAUCUUCAGCUACGAAGGACGAUUGGCAACAUACUGUGACUGGCCAGUACCUUUUCUUGCUAAAGAGGUCUUAGCUGAGGCAGGAUUUUGGUAUUAUGGCACGGAUGAUUACGUUGUUUGCACUAGAUGUGGAAACGGAUUACGCGACUGGCAAUCUGGAGACGACCCACGUCAACAACACUUGGAACUAUUUAAAUCCAUUUGUUUUUGAUGUUUCAUGUUUGAAUGAAAUGCCAAAAUAAAAAGUUGA